ensembl:lincRNA
UUGAGGACUACUCCCAUUUGGCGACUCUUUCCUGCGGUGCAACUCCCUCCCACCGUGGUUGAAUGGGCGUGAACUUUGGUGGGACCAUGUGUGGAGAUGGCGACCGGUAGCAGUGGCGUGCCUUGUCCGGAUGCGAGUCCGAACGCAGCUAUUUGUCACAACAACGCAGCUGCCCCCCUCCACCCUCCUCACAAAGUAAGCUGGUGCCCAUAUGAAUAAUCUUCCAGUCGUUAAGAUUACCUUUUCAUUCAAACAAAGCAGGGUGAGAUGUUAACAUGUUUUUUCUCUCCACUGGCCAGCCAGAUGAGUCGGACCAAAACCUCACUGAUCCGCAAGGGUUUCCACCUUGGCAGAGGCCACACAUUUUGACAAUAUCCGCCAUCAAAAUUAAACAGCUUCAGUAAUGAAAGCCCGAAAUGAUGUCUCAUUAAACAAGGUUAAUUAUCUGCCAAUUAACUCGAGAAUUACUUUUUUUCUUUACCUCUGCUACCGAAGGUGAAGGAGGUUAAUUUUUCACCCCUUUCUGUCUGUCUUUCCGUGCGCAGGAUAUCUCAAAAAGUUGGAGACGGAUCCGGAAGAAACUUGGUGGACACGUUGGGUGUGUGGCAACUGUUUGAUCCCACCAAACCAAGGCGAGGUACAUUUGGAUGAGUGAACGAUCCAACCAUCUGUGGAGCGAGGUUCAACCACCAAGGGCGAGAGCUGUGCCCCCAUGAGACCAAGAUGACACUCGGGCGUAAUGGACCACACAAACAGCGAUUCUGCCACGUCACAGUCAAAUGGGACGCUCAAAGUGCUGUGAAGAUUGUGCCUGCAUUUCACCAGAGGAAUUCCGAGCCAUGGCACUCCGAUUCACUCACGCUAGCGCAGCGUACUUGCAUCGAUUUAAAAAGCUCCCAAAUGGUCAAGGAUAACAAAUGGGAUAUGAAAGGAGAGUCGGAGCUUCAUUGGAGGCGCAGAACAAGCGGCCAUUUCGAGGAAUGUUGGAUUUUCCGUGAAUUGGCGCCGCUGAACCGUCAAGGUCUGAGGCAAGAGGGUCCGUCUGAAUAGGCCCUACGAGUCGGAUCCGGAGUACCCCUAUUCGGUACUGAAGGAGGUCAUUCGUGAGGUCAGGUUCAGGGAGGUGCCCGAUUGGAGUUACAGAACCUUGAUAAAGCAGAUGACAUAAUUCCACCACAGAGAACUCUGACGGUGUGGCAGAGGCAGAACGUGUCUUCUCAGGUCCUCACUGGGGCACAGAGUGACCUGGCCUGGAUGGCGGUGUGCAAGCUAUUGCCAUUGCCAGGCAGUGCAAGAGGUGAGAGGGCAUGCCUCAACUACAAAAUGUCCUUAUACCGGAUGUAAUAACACUGAAUCAGUUCAACAUUUUUGGUGAGACUGUGUGUUUGCUUCUUUAGUUUGGAACGAAGUGUAAGUAAAAAUUUUGUGUAAAUUAAAGGUUAAGUUUUCUUAAAGUUGGGAGAUGGUUUUGUUUGGUCCCUUUGGGUAAGAAUGCAAACUGAAACAGAAGGGGUUUUGGAGAAUUUUAAAUUGCGUUAAAAUGGCUCUGUAGAAAGCUCGGGUGUCCGCAUGUUUCGGGAUGCACCAUUUUUAUUUGAAAUUUGUAUUUGCUUUGUUCAAGAAAGAAAUGUUUUUGUAUUAUCAUUUGAGAAGUAUGUUGUGAUUCCCUUC